rnacentral:rRNA from 1 species
AUUGAACGCUGGCGGAAUGCUUUACACAUGCAAGUCGAACGGCAGCACGGACUUCGGUCUGGUGGCGAGUGGCGAACGGGUGAGUAAUGUAUCGGAACGUGCCCAGUCGUGGGGGAUAACGUAGUGAAAAUUACGCUAAUACCGCAUACGAUCUAUGGAUGAAAGCGGGGGACCGCAAGACCUCGCGCGAUUGGAGCGGCCGAUAUCAGAUUAGGGAGUUGGUGGGGUAAAGGCCCACCAAGCCAACGAUCUGUAGCUGGUCUGAGAGGACGACCAGCCACACUGGAACUGAGACACGGUCCAGACUCCUACGGGAGGCAGCAGUGGGGAAUUUUGGACAAUGGGCGAAAGCCUGAUCCAGCCAUUCCGCGUGCAGGAUGAAGGCCCUCGGGUUGUAAACUGCUUUUGUACAGAACGAAAAGGUUUCUACUAAUACUAGGAGCUCAUGACGGUACUGUAAGAAUAAGCACCGGCUAACUACGUGCCAGCCGCCGCGGUAA